rnacentral:rRNA from 1 species
AUUGAACGCUGGCGGCAGGCCUAACACAUGCAAGUCGAGCGGUAACAGAGAGGUGCUUGCACCUUUGCUGACGAGCGGCGGACGGGUGAGUAAUGCUUGGGAACAUGCCUUGAGGUGGGGGACAACAGUUGGAAACGACUGCUAAUACCGCAUAAUGUCUACGGACCAAAGGGGGCUUCGGCUCUCGCCUUUAGAUUGGCCCAAGUGGGAUUAGCUAGUUGGUGAGGUAAUGGCUCACCAAGGCAACGAUCCCUAGCUGGUUUGAGAGGAUGAUCAGCCACACUGGGACUGAGACACGGCCCAGACUCCUACGGGAGGCAGCAGUGGGGAAUAUUGCACAAUGGGCGCAAGCCUGAUGCAGCCAUGCCGCGUGUGUGAAGAAGGCCUUCGGGUUGUAAAGCACUUUCAGUCAGGAGGAAAGGUUAGUAGUUAAUACCUGCUAGCUGUGACGUUACUGACAGAAGAAGCACCGGCUAACUCCG